GAAAAGAAGAUUGGAAACAUUUGCCACAGUUGCCCCAAUUACCACAAGUUCAUACCUUACCAAGGACUGAAAACGAGUGUCACCUAGGCCUGUGAAACAGAGCCUGGUUAGGGGCUGACUGUCAUGUACCCAAGAAAUAUGAAGAAGCAUAGAGCUACAUAAGAAAUAAACUUCAGAAUUCACAGUGAUUCUAACAAUCCUGAGAACUGUGGAAGAAAUUCAAAAUACUUGUUUCAUUCAGUAUUCGGUUUUGACUUAUUCCUAAGGUGGAGUUUGAGAAUGCCUGGAUACAUUAACAUAAAAAAAGCUGGUUUAUGGUUACACGCACAGAGGCACCCAUGCAAGUGACUUGCACCAGAGAGCUGUUACCCCCAGC